AUCACGUACAUAGCACCCGACCCACACACACACUCAGUGACUUCCUGUUUAAACUUGGGGUGAAAACCGCUGAACCAGUUGAACUUCUCCCUCAGAGCAGCAGGACACACUCAGGAAUGACUGAAGAUGUUGACUGACAAGGAAGAGGAGGACAGAGAAGACUCUCUGUCGAUGAAGAAUGACCGGUCUAAAGGUCUUUCUUUAGUCUUCAGUACUGAACCCGGAGCCUCGGACUCACAAGAUCAGAAGUUCAGACACACAGCGCAGUCUUCAUGAUCCAGCAGGUUGUCUCUGAAGAGAGUGACCGGUCCAAAGGUUUUCCACUAAACUUCAGUGGUGAACGUGGACCUUCAGACACAGAAGAGAAGAAGAGCAGUGAUGUCUGUGAGGAGCAGCAGGACCAGGGUUCUUCAUCAGGACUGCAGCAGCUUCUAGAAGAAC